UACGGAGGGUGCGAGCGUUGUCCGGAAUCACUGGGCGUAAAGGGCGCGUAGGCGGCCUGAUAAGUAGGGGGUGAAAUCCUGCGGCUUAACCGCAGGGCUGCCUUCUAAACUGUCAGGCUCGAGCACAGUAGAGGCAGGUGGAAUUCCCGGUGUAGCGGUGGAAUGCGCAGAUAUCUGGAGGAACACCGGUGGCGAAGGCGGCAUCCUGGACCGAAACUGACGCUGAUGCGCGAAAGCCAGGGGAGCAAACGGG
rnacentral:rRNA from 1 species